rnacentral:rRNA from 1 species
GAUUAUGGCUCAGGAUGAACGCUAGCUACAGGCUUAACACAUGCAAGUCGAGGGGCAGCAUUGGAGUAGCAAUACUUCAGAUGGCGACCGGCGCACGGGUGAGUAACACGUAUCCAACCUGCCGCUUACUCGGGGAUAGCCUUUCGAAAGAAAGAUUAAUACCCGAUGGUAUAAAGAGUUCGCAUGUUCUCUUUAUUAAAGAAUUUCGGUAAGCGAUGGGGAUGCGUUCCAUUAGCUAGUUGGCGGGUAACGGCCCACCAAGUCUACGAUGGAUAGGGGUUCUGAGAGGAAGGUCCCCCACAUUGGAACUGAGACACGGUCCAAACUCCUACGGGAGGCAGCAGUGAGGAAUAUUGGUCAAUGGACGAGAGUCUGAACCAGCCAAGUAGCGUGAAGGAUGACUGCCCUAUGGGUUGUAAACUUCUUUUAUAAGGGAAUAAAGUGAGGGACGUGUCCCUUUUUGUAUGUACCUUAUGAAUAAGGAUCGGCUAACUCCGUGCCAGCCGCUGC